GCAUAUCAAUAAGCGGAGGAAAAGAAACCAACAGGGAUUCCCUUAGUAACGGCGAGUGAACCGGGAAAAGCUCAAAUUUGAAAUCUGCCAACAGGCCGAGUUGUAAUUUGUAGAUGGCUACACUGCAUAAUAGUAGAUGCUCAAGUUCUUUGGAAAAAGACAUCAUGGAGGGUGACAAUCCCGUGAGGCAUGUUACUAGGAGCAUAUAGUGGGCUUUCUAAGAGUCGAGUUGUUUGGGAAUGCAGCUCAAAGUGCGUGGUGAAUACCAUGUAAAGCUAAAUAUGGACGAGAGACCGAUAGCGAACAAGUACUGUGAAGGAAAGAUGAAAAGCACUCCGAAAGGAGAGUGAAAUAGUACGUGAAAUUGUUAAAGUGGAAGGGCUUGAGAUCAGAAUUGGUAGUUUGGGUUCCACGUCCUCUUGGGGGCGUGUACUCCCUUUCCACCGGGCCAGCGGGAGUUUCGUCUCUUGGGUAAAAGCAGUGGAAUGUAGCAGCUUGUCUGUAUUAUAGCCUCUGUUCAUACAAGACGUCGAGACUUGUUUUUGUUGGCGUAAUGAUCUCUAGCCACCCGUCUUGAAACACGGACC
rnacentral:rRNA from 1 species